rnacentral:sRNA from 1 species
GUGAAGCUGCAUCAUUGUCUGGGGUAAAUACCUGAGGUUCGUUGUCUCACGCCAAGGGAAUCAAGGACGUGGACACACAAGAAAUGGGGUACCUAUCUGACCAGGCCAUGUUGUAUGUUCCUUACUGUACACGUGGUUGACAAAGAAAAGGGAAGAUGGAGCUGCGAUGUUGGACAUGCCUGGCCCCCAGCUCGACUUUCUCAGGAUACUGUCCCUCUCCCAGAG